UACGUAGGGUGCGAGCGUUGUCCGGAAUUACUGGGCGUAAAGAGUUCGUAGGCGGUUUGUCGCGUCGUUCGUGAAAACUUGGGGCUUAACCCCGAGCCUGCUUCUGAUACGGGCAGACUAGAGGUAUGCAGGGGAGAACGGAAUUCCUGGUGUAGCGGUGAAAUGCGCAGAUAUCAGGAGGAACACCGGUGGCGAAGGCGGUUCUCUGGGCAUUACCUGACGCUGAGGAGCGAAAGUGUGGGGAGCGAACAGG
rnacentral:rRNA from 1 species